AUACGGAGGAUCCGAGCGUUAUCCGGAUUUAUUGGGUUUAAAGGGUGCGCAGGCGGCCAUUUAAGUCAGCGGUUAAAUCUUGGGGCUCAACCCCAUUCUGCCGUUGAUACUGGGUGGCUUGAUUGCGGUCGAGGUUGGCGGAAUUCGUUGCGUAGCGGUGAAAUGCAUAGAUAUGACGAAGAACACCGAUUGCGUAGGCAGCUGACCAGACCGCAAAUGACGCUCAUGCACGAAAGUGCGUGGAUCGAACAGGAUUAGAUACCCUGGUAGUCCGCACAGUAAACGAUGAAUACUUGGUUUCGGCGAUAUAAUGUCGGAGGCAAAGCGAAAGCGAUAAGUAUUCCACCUGGGGAGUACGCCGGCAACGGUGAAACUCAAAGGAAUUGGCGGG
rnacentral:rRNA from 1 species